GAUGAACGCUGGCGGCGUGCCUAACACAUGCAAGUCGAGCGAGAAAUGAAGAGAAGAAACUUCGGUAGAUUUUCAUCAUGGAAAGCGGCGGACGGGUGAGUAACGCGUAGGCAACCUGCCCCGUACAGGGGGAUAGCCAUCGGAAACGAUGAUUAAGACCCCAUAAAGCGGAAUAUACACAUGUAAAAACCGUCAAAGAUUUAUCGGUAUGGGAUGGGCCUGGGUCUGAUUAGAUAGUUGGUAGGGUAACGGCCUACCAAGUCAACGAUCAGUAGCCGACCUGAGAGGGUGAACGGCCACAUUGGAACUGAGACACGGUCCAAACUCCUACGGGAAGGCAGCAGUGGGGAAUAUUGCACAAUGGAGGGAACUCUGAUGCAGCAACGCCGCGUGAAGGAAGAAGGUCUUCGGAUCGUAAACUUCUGUCCAAAAGGAAGAAGGAAGUGACGGUACCUUGGAGGAAGCCCCG
rnacentral:rRNA from 1 species